AUUUUCCCUCUCUCUCUCUCUCUCCAUUUCUCUUCACCAUAUCUUCUUCUUCUUCUUAGAGAGAGAAACUAUGGUUCCUCGCUCUCUCUCUCUACUCUCUUCAGCCUCAUCUCCAUCAUCAUUCCCUCCAAAUUUCACCGCCGAUUCACCUUCUCCGGCGCCGUUUUCCUUCCGGCGAGUUCCUCGGUUUCCGUGCCUCAAUGUCUUCUCCUCUUCAUCAUCGUCGAAGCAACAAUUAUUCAUCGAUAAUAAUGAUUCGCCGGAGCAAUUUUUGAAGAACAAUUCGAUUGCGGAUUUUAUGAGGUUUAAAAAAGGAAGGAGUAAUGCAGCUGAAUUGCAAACUGCUGUUGUUACUUAUAGAAAGAAGUUUCCUUGGUCGAUUCUUCAGCCUUUUCUCCAGGUUCAAAAUUCUCUCACUUAACUUACAGAAUUUGUGAGUGUUUUACUAGGUGUAUUCCAUUUAGACACUCGGAACUAAGUUUGGUUUCAAUUGAACACAGUCAAAUCCCUCUUUAGUACUAAUAAACAAUACAUUUUCCCUCUCUCUCUCUCUCUCCAUUUCUCUUCACCAUAUCUUCUUCUUCUUCUUAGAGAGAGAAACUAUGGUUCCUCGCUCUCUCUCUCUACUCUCUUCAGCCUCAUCUCCAUCAUCAUUCCCUCCAAAUUUCACCGCCGAUUCACCUUCUCCGGCGCCGUUUUCCUUCCGGCGAGUUCCUCGGUUUCCGUGCCUCAAUGUCUUCUCCUCUUCAUCAUCGUCGAAGCAACAAUUAUUCAUCGAUAAUAAUGAUUCGCCGGAGCAAUUUUUGAAGAACAAUUCGAUUGCGGAUUUUA
rnacentral:lncRNA from 1 species